rnacentral:rRNA from 1 species
AUUGAACGCUGGCGGCAGGCCUAACACAUGCAAGUCGAGCGGAGCGGCGGACGGGUGAGGAAUGCUUAGGAAUGUGCCUGGUAGUGGGGGAUAACGUCCGGAACCGGGCGCUAAUACCGAAAACUAUCAGCUGAGCCUAGGCCGGAUUAGGUAGUUGGUGGGGUAAAGGCAUACCAAGGCGACGAUCCGUAACUGGUCUGAGAGGAUGAUCAGUCACACUGGAACUAAGACACGGUCCAGACUCCUACGGGAGGCAGCAGUGGGGAAUAUUGGACAAUGGGCGAAAGCCUGAUCCAGCCAUGCCGCGUGUGUGAAGAAGGUCUUCGGAUUGUAAAGCACUUUAAGUUGGGAGGCGUUACCAGCAGAAUAAGCACCGGCUAACUUCGUGCCAGCAGCCGCGGUAAUUC